rnacentral:rRNA from 1 species
GUGGACGCAUCACUGGUGUUCGGGUUGUCAUGCCAAUGGCAUUGCCCGGUAGCUAAAUGCGGAAGAGAUAAGUGCUGAAAGCAUCUAAGCACGAAACUUGCCCCGAGAUGAGUUCUCCCUGACCCUUUAAGGGUCCUGAAGGAACGUUGAAGACGACGACGUUGAUAGGUCGGGUGUGUAAGCGUAGCGAUACGUUGAGCUAACCGAUACUAAUGAACCGUGAGGCUUAACCUUACAACGCCGAAG